AUCCUAACGCGUUAAACGUGCCCGCCUGGGAAGUACGGUCGCAAGAUUAAAACUCAAAGAAAUUGACGGGGGCUGCACAAGCGGUGGAGUAUGUGGCUUAAUUCGAUGCAACGCGAAGAACCUUACCUGGCCUUGACAUGUAUCUAGUAGAAGGGUGAAAGCCUGACGAGGUAGCAAUACCAGGAUACACAGGUGCUGCAUGGCUGUCGUCAGCUCGUGUCGUGAGAUGUUGGGUUAAGUCCCGCAACGAGCGCAACCCUUGCGUCCAGUUGCCACUUGGCCGAGAGGCCGAAGCACUCUGGAUGGACUGCCUCAUUUAAAUGAGGAGGAAGGUGGGGAUGACGUCAAGUCAGUAUGGCCCUUACGGCCAGGGCUGCACACGUACUACAAUGCCCGGCACAAAGGGAAGCAAGACCGCAAGGUGGAGCAAAUCCCACAAAACCGGGCUCAGUUCAGAUUGAGGUCUGCAACUCGACCUCAUGAAGCUGGAAUCGCUAGUAAUGGCGCAUCAGCUACGGCGCCGUGAAUACGUUCCCAGGCCUUGUACACACCGCCCGUCACAUCAUGAAAGCCGUUUGUACCCGAAGUCGCUCCUAAAAAGGUGCCGAAGGUAUGGAUGGUGAUUGGGAUGAAGUCGUAACAAGGUAACCGUAA
rnacentral:rRNA from 1 species